rnacentral:rRNA from 1 species
GACGAACGCUGGCGGCGUGCUUAACACAUGCAAGUCGAGCGGUAAGGCCCCUUUGGGGGUACACGAGCGGCGAACGGGUGAGUAACACGUGGGUGACCUGCCCUCAGCUCUGGGAUAAGCCUGGGAAACUGGGUCUAAUACCGGAUAUGACUCCAUGACGCAUGUUGUGGGGUGGAAAGCCUUGUGCGGCUGGGGAUGGGCCCGCGGCCUAUCAGCUUGUUGGUGGGGUGAUGGCCUACCAAGGCGACGACGGGUAGCCGGCCUGAGAGGGCGACCGGCCACACUGGGACUGAGACACGGCCCAGACUCCUACGGGAGGCAGCAGUGGGGAAUCUUGCGCAAUGGGCGAAAGCCUGACGCAGCGACGCCGCGUGAGGGAUGACGGCCUCGG